UACAGUAGGCUACUGUAGUUUUCCAAUGCAUUAUGGGAAAUAUUACUCUGAAUACGGUAUUACCAAACAACUGCAAAACACAAUGACAAACGUAUAUUUAUAUCUUAAAUGCUUUAUUUUUUGUGAGAUAUUUGGUUUAAUGUCUGUUUUCACAUCAGAUGCUCGGUCUGUUCCUUUAACAUAAAUCACGUGCCUUUUCUGAGGCUUUAAUGAAAUCACCAGCCAAUUCAAUAGACAUACCAUCAGUUCUUAAUAUUGUUGCCUCUAGGUCACAAAUUGUAUUUUUAAGAUUAGUUUAGGCGAGAAUAUAUAUAUGUAUAAUCUUCAAAUAGCAGUCAAUUAGUUAAGAAAGCGCUAAUUUUCGUAUUUGAUUAAACAAAUGCGGAGAGUUCAGGCGCGAGUUGGUCACGUGAUGUGCUCCUCAGUUCUGUCAGUAGGGGGAGUGGGAGAACGCGUGUGUGUCGUCGCUCGUCGUAUCUGUUCUGCUAAUCUAGCGCGUAUUUCUUUAUUACCAUCUGCUGGGUGAAUAUUAAUACGUAUAUGCUAACUUUCAUUUUGUGACCACAAAAUGACAGAGAGCUAUUAUAAGAGAUCUUGUGUCGUCGUGUUUGUCUUCACUCACUUCAUCAUUAUCUGCAAACAACUUCUGCAACUACAUAAUGAUUGUCUGCGUGUGUGCAAAAGAAAGCACGUUCACUGUGUAAAACCCCGCCAGCGCUUUUUCAAAUUAACGGCCAAGGCAGUCUGAGCUUAUCGUGUUGUGUUGACGGAGACUUUGCUGAGUGUAUGUAAAUCUGGGCUACAGUCCACAACAAAUUUGCUACGGUAGUUUUACGCCUGCAUGCUCGUCCUCUCGUCUAUAUCGCGGGGACAUCAUCACUACAGCGGGAAUCGCAUUGAAGAGAUCCUGUGCUUGUUGCGUGGCGGUGUGUUUGUGUGCUCACUUGGAUUGAGACCAGCAGUGCUUUUUUUAAUAGUGGGUGAGUACUAACUUAUUAUUGUGUAGUUUCAUAAAAGCCUUACUCUUUUUCAGUCACUUAACUUUUGUUCAUCUGCUAAUAAUAGGACUAUGAUCCAUACACAAAGAUGUAUUGUGGAUUAAAUAUUCGCGAAUAUUUAUGUGAAAAUGUAUUAGUGUUCUGCUGACAUGAGAUCUGAAAAUGUGUUCUAGGACCUGAUAUGGAUUAAUCCAAUGAUCAACGUUUUUCUUUGUAUCCCUGUUUUGUAUGCUGCCAUUACAUGAUGGUCAUAUGUCCCGGAUGAUCGGGAGAAGUCACGUGGUUCAAUUAUUAUUAUUAUUAUUAUUAUUAUUAUUAUUAUUAUUAUUUACGUGGUUCAAUUAUCUGUUUAUAAACAUUUUUACCAUGCAUUUAGCAUCAGGCAAAGCUUAUCUUACUUAUAAUUAUGUUGUUAUUACAAUAUCAUGUGAUCAUCUGAGUUAGAACAAAAUCUAUUCAUUUUCAGGUAUUACUGUGCAAAUGCCCUGAAUCAUUCUGUUGAAAUGUUAUGUGUUUAAGAUUCUUUAAGACAUCAAGAUGUGGUUUGGGAAGGACCUUCAUCUAAAUCUGAAGACAGGACAUACUGGCUCAAAAAGGUGUUUCUGAUAUGGAGAAAAACCCUGCACUGCUCAUUUUAUUUCUUCAUCUUGAGAAUACAGCAAGUUUAACUUUUGUCUGGAAAAUGAUUCAGCAAAGCUAACACCAACAACAAUUUUUCAUGGCACUUCAAACCCCCUUGAUGUGAGGAGCCAGCAUCAGAAUGGAUGGUGUCAAUAUCCUGAAUGAAGAAGUGGAGGUAACAGAGGUGGAUCUCAAGACUUGGCCAUGUUCUAGAUAAUAACUGAAUUAUCACAAGUGCUGUCGCCCCUGCUGUAUAUGAUGCCCCCACCACCUACACCAGCUGUAGAAAAUGUCGGUCCUGGAGUGCCGUUGUCCUGCAGAGUUUUGCUCCAGCUCUAAACAAACACACCUGAACAACUAGAUCUAAAGAGUCACCUGAAAACUACAGGUAGGCAAGGUUUUAUUAGGGUUGGAAAUAAAAUCUGCAGGAUUUUGGCACUCCAGAACCGAUGUUGCCUACCCCUGACCUACACCUUCAUCCUGCCACCACCACUCAUACUACCUACAAAAAAAACUGUAUUGUAAUUAUGCUUUUCACUGUAUUGUAUGAUGUGGUUUUCUCAUUUAGGGUAACUACACUAUGGCAACCAUUUGAUACAUUGAUUGCUGACUGAUUUUGUUAAUUUUUAUUUAACCUUUUGUAUAAAAUCUAAUCAUUUUUUGGUUAUUUUUGUUAAUAUUGUUACAAAUAUACAGUUAAAACUGCACAAUAAAUUUUCUGCUUUUAAAGAUAUAGUU